rnacentral:tRNA from 1 species
GGNUCCGUGGCGCAAUUGGUGAGCGCGUUCGGCUGUUAACCGAAAGAUUGGUCGUUCAAGCCCACCCGGGGACG